AAACCAACAGGGAUUGCCUUAGUAACGGCGAGUGAAGCGGCAACAGCUCAAAUUUGAAAUCUGGCCCUUGGGUCCGAAUUGUAAUUUGUAGAGGAUGAUUUUGGUGCGGUAUCUUCCGAGUUCCUUGGAACAGGACGCCUUAGAGGGUGAGAGCCCCGUACGGUUGAAUGCCUAGCCUCUGUAAAUCUCCUUCGACGAGUCGAGUAGUUUGGGAAUGCUGCUCUAAAUGGGAGGUAAAUUUCUUCUAAAGCUAAAUAUUGGCCAGAGACCGAUAGCGCACAAGUAGAGUGAUCGAAAGAUGAAAAGCACUUUGAAAAGAGGGUUAAAUAGCACGUGAAAUUGUUGAAAGGGAAGGAUUUGUGACCAGACUUUUUCUGGGCGGAUCAUCCGGGGUUCUCUCCGGUGCACUUUGCCCAGUAAAGGCCAGCAUCGGUUUUCGGCGGGGGAUAAAAGCAGUAGGAAUGUGGCUCUCUACGGGGAGUGUUAUAGCCUAUUGUAUAAUACCCUGCUGGGGACCGAGGUACGCGCUUCUGCAAGGAUGCUGGCGUAAUGGUUAUCAAUCACCCGUCUUGAAACACGGACCAAGGAGUCGAACAUUUGUGCGAGUGUUUGGGUGUUAAACCCUCACGCGUAAUGAAAGUGAACGGAGGUGAGAGCCCUUACGGGUGCAUCAUCGACCGAUCCUGAAGUUUUCGGAUGGAUUUGAGUAAGAGCAUAACUGUUCGGACCCGAAAGAUGGUGAACUAUGCGUGGAUAGGGUGAAGCCAGAGGAAACUCUGGUGGAGGCUCGCAGCGGUUCUGACGUGCAAAUCGAUCGUCAAAUCUGCGCAUGGGGGCGAAA
rnacentral:rRNA from 1 species